rnacentral:sRNA from 1 species
UGCAUCUGAAGUCUGACGAGGAUGAGAACCUCCGGGGGCAAGAGGUUCGACUCGAGCGAAGCGAGAGAACGUUGCGUCAGCAACGGCCCGCAGGG